CGAAACCCGCUCGGCCAAGGGUGAGCCCGCCCGGGCCGAUAGCGAGCCUUGCGACGGCCGCGGUGACAUGGUCGGCGAUGCGUAGGUACGCGAGCAUGUGGGCCGUGGCAGUGUAGCCUCGAAAACUAUGAGAUUCCGGGUGCCCAGGGUGUAGAAAGGCCUGAAGGCGACGGCGGAUCCUCCGCACAGCGGGCGAGGGGGUUCCGCACCCGGCGGGGUCUUUGAUCA
rfam:Freshwater sediment metagenome lwFormaldehyde_BCIB29247_g1, whole genome shotgun sequence.